rnacentral:rRNA from 1 species
UUUUUAAUCCAUAUCCACCUUGUGUGCAAUGUCAGUUGUUCUCUUUUUUGAGAAUGACCAAACGUCAACUUAAAUUUUAACUCUUUGUCUGAAAAAUAUUAUGAAUAAAAUAAUUCAAAAUACAACUUUCAACAACGGAUCUCUUGGCUCUCGCAUCGAUGAAGAACGCAGCGAAAUGCGAUACGUAAUGUGAAUUGCAGAAUUCAGUGAAUCAUCGAAUCUUUGAACGCAUAUUGCGCUCUUUGGUAUUCCGAAGAGCAUGCUUGUUUGAGUAUCAGUAAACACCUCAAAGACUUCAAUUUGUUUUGAAUGGCUUUGGACUUGAGCAAUCCCAACACCAGUCUUUACGAUCGGUGGAGGGUUGCUUGAAAUGCAGGUGCAGCUGGACAUUCUCCUGAGCUAAAAGCAUAUUUAUUUAGUCCCGUCAAACGGAUUAUUACUUUUGCUGCAGCUAACAUAAAGGGAGUUUGACCGUAUUGGCUGACUGAUGCAGGAUUUCACAAGGGUCGGCAACGAUUCUUGUAAAACUCGAUCUCAAAUCAAGUAAGACUACCCGCUGAACUUAAGCAUAUCAAU